AGCACUGUGUGUGUGUGUGUGUGUGUGUGUGUCUGUGUGUGUGUGUGUGUGUGUGUCCAGGGAGUCGUCUAAUAAAUAUCAGGACCAGCCUGUCCUCUAUCUUCCAAAAAAUCCAUCUUAAACUCAAGAGAGCGAGAGAAAAAAAAAAUAGUUUGGUCGAACAGAAAUAUUAUAACCCGGGGCGGGAGCCAAGUCUCAAAAGCACUUCCACAGAUGGGGGAAUGAGGCAGAAGCAGCAGCAGCAGCAGGAGCAGGAGCAGCAAGGAAAGCGAUGGGGCUCUGGCCAACCCCGGCAAUCCAGCAGCAGCCCUCUUUUAUUGCCGUGCACACAGAGGCUUACGGUAAAACAGGGUUAAACAUGGUUACACUUAGUGUAAUUAUUUGCUACUUAGCAAGAACUGAAUGAGGCACCUGCAGCGGCUGUUAGCAGCAGCAGCAGCAGCAGCAGCAGCUCGACGGCUAAUGCUAGCACCAGCGGGCAAUCCAACAGCACCGGAGAAGGCAAGAUUUUGGAACAAAACUUCUGCAAUCCCAAGAUGCAGACCUGGCCACAGCAGUUCAGCUACUGGGCAGCUCCAUCAGACCCCUGACCGCAUUCCAAGAAUAUUUUGAGGAUGCCAAGCUGACAGCAGAAGGCAUUUCCAACAAGUGGGGAGUAAACCAAAUGUUUGAGCGCAUUCGGCUGGAGGACAGUGAUGGUGCAGUUUUACAAACUUUGUCAAGACAAGAGUCUUAUUUUCGUGUGCAUAUGUUCCAUGCCCGUGUUAAUAUUGUGAUCUACCAGCUGACCCAGAGAUUCACUGGUGGACACCUUCAAAGUUAUACAACCUGAAACACUUCACUGCAACAGAUGAGGAACUAGCUCUGCAAGCAAACAGGCAGGUGGAUAUUUACAAAGAUGACAUAACUUCCGCAUUUCCGAUAAAGCUGUUGUCCUUCUGUGAGUGCUUAAGAGAAAGUAUUUC
ensembl:lncRNA